rnacentral:rRNA from 1 species
AUUCAACGCUGGCGGCAGGCCUAACACAUGCAAGUCGAACGAGUGGCGGACGUGUUAGUAAUGUCUGGGAAACUGCCUGAUGGAGGGGGAUAACUACUUGAAACGGUAGCUAAUACCGCAUACCAUCGGAUGUGCCCAGAUGGGAUUAGCUAGUAGGGGGGGUAAAGGCUCACCUAGGCGACCAUCCCUAGCUGGUCUGAGAGGCUGACCAGCGACACUGGAACUGAGACACGGUCCAGACUCCGACGGGAGGCAGCAGGGGGGAAUAUUGAACAAUGGGCGCAAGCCUGAUGCAGCCAUGCCGCGUGUAUGAAGAAGGCCUUCGGGUUGUAAAGUACUUUCAGCGGGGAGGCGUUACCCGCAGAAGAAGCACCGGCUAACGCCGUGCCAGCAGCCGCGGUAAUAC